CCCCAUCAUAAAUUAAAACCCUUUUCCCAUGCUUUUUAGAUCUCGACAAAUCUUCUUUAACAAAAUUUCUAUUCACCACUUUCGAAUCUGGUGCCACUAGAGAUUGAAAUCUUGAACCCGUGAUUUCCUCCCCUUCUUCAGACCUUUCAAAUUUAUUAGGUUCACGAGAUUGGCACCUAGAUUUCCACUCCACCAACAUCCACGGGUUGUAUUCUCCAUUUUCGAUUGACAAUUCCACAGCAGCCAGUAUGGCGGCAACUAGCUGUAAUACUACCUCCGAUGCAGCAAAAAAUGAAGAUCUAUUUGGUUAAAUCUCCAUGUUAUGGCCAUACUGUCCAUACGAAA
rnacentral:lncRNA from 1 species